rnacentral:tRNA from 1 species
GGGCCCGUCGUUCAACGGUUAGGACGGGAUUCUUAUAAAGUCCAGACGAUGGUUCGACUCCAUCCGGGCCCACCC